rnacentral:rRNA from 1 species
CUGGCAGUAAACGGUGCACACUUGCUGUGUGAGGGAUCGACCCCUUACGUGGCGAAGCAAACGCGAUAAGUGUGCCGCCUGGGGAGUACGGUCGCAAGACUAAAACUCAAAGAAAUUGACGGGGGCCUGCACAAGCGGUGGAGUAUGUGGCUUAAUUCGAUGCAACGCGAAGAACCUUACCUGGCCUUGACAUGCAGAUAUUAGAAGGGUGAAAGCCCGACGAGGGAGCAAUCGCAGUCUGCACAGGUGC